CAGCAGCCACGGUAAUACGAAGGGUGCAAGCGUUAAUCGGAAUUACUGGGCGUAAAGCGUGCGUAGGCGGUGAGUUAAGUCUGCUGUGAAAUCCCCGGGCUCAACCUGGGAAUGGCAGUGGAUACUGGCUCGCUAGAGUGUGUCAGAGGAUGGUGGAAUUCCCGGUGUAGCGGUGAAAUGCGUAGAGAUCGGGAGGAACAUCAGUGGCGAAGGCGGCCAUCUGGGACAACACUGACGCUGAGGCACGGAAGCGUGGGGAGCAAACAGGAUUAGAUACCCCCGUAGUCCCUGUCUCUUAUAC
rnacentral:rRNA from 1 species